UACGAAGGGGGCUAGCGUUGCUCGGAAUCACUGGGCGUAAAGCGCACGUAGGCGGGUCUUUAAGUCAGGGGUGAAAUCCUGGAGCUCAACUCCAGAACUGCCUUUGAUACUGAGGAUCUUGAGUCCGGGAGAGGUGAGUGGAACUGCGAGUGUAGAGGUGAAAUUCGUAGAUAUUCGCAAGAACACCAGUGGCGAAGGCGGCUCACUGGCCCGGUACUGACGCUGAGGCGCGACAGCGUGGGGAGCAAACAGG
rnacentral:rRNA from 1 species